UGUGUGGAUACCUGUGUUUGAUCUGUAUUGUCUUAGCUGGCCAUGGCCAAAGAUCCCCAACACCCGCUCAUGCAUAAAGUGACCAUUUGCUCCUUGUUCUGGCCCCUCUACUGAGAGAUAACUCACUUUGUAUGUGUG